GGAAUUCAGACGUGGCUUGGAAACUGCACCAUGGGUUCACCCAAGAAACAGACCAGAGGCAACACAUUCUAUCACUAAAACGUGUUCUCAGUUACACUUCCCUUCCAAAGGAUUAUUUGUGCCCAUGAGGGAAACACGAAGGAUUGUCAGUAUUCAUUUGCUAUCAGAACUGCCUUUGAACUUCAGGGAAGCCGCCAUCUUGUUUUAGUUCACUCCUCUAAAGCACAGUGUCUGCAACAUGAAACACUAGUAAGACACAGUUAUCCAGAAAGAGCCCUAGAGAUGGAUAAGGAACCUGUUGGAAUGCUCUGAUAUUAAGAAAAAAAAAAUUAAAUUCAAAACCAAAAACAAGUCACAAGGGAGUUUUAUGCCUAUGUAAUCAGUGCAGACAGCCGUUAAGUAAAUGAAGAGGCAACUAACAAUGUCAGAAAAGAGACCGGGCGGUUCCGGCUGACACUACCCUAAUCUUCCAGGACCCAUUAAAUGGUAGUUUCAACGCAUUACCUACCAUAACAUCCUUGAAUAUCACUGAUUUUAUUUGCAGUAUCAAACAUUCCAUUUCAUGCCCCAUUAACAGUGGGAGCCUGGGCUUUUUGACGCAGCUAAACAUUUUACUAACUACCUGGACUAAGUAACCAAUUAACUUUUGGAGACAAUACGGCCAAUUAAGCGCGAAAAGCAGAAAUAUCAGUGUCCGACAAGAUAUUGCCCUGGUUUUCACUGGCUUGGACUCUUCAGAGAGAAAAACAAAUCCAUGUAUAGAGAGAAAAUUUGGAAAACAGGCUUUUCCUAUCCGGAUGAACAGAGAUAAUUUGUGUCGAUGGAUGUUCUGUGAAGGCCUAUUGUGUCGAGCAGCGUAUUAAAACAUAAACAUGGCUCUUCCCCCAAGAAACUUACAUUUCAGUAAGGGAGCCUGGCCAAAAUGGAAAACUGCAAGGUUCAAAUCCUGGAGUGCAGAAGAAGCAUUAGGCAUUGACCCUGUGGCUUCCUAAUAGAUCCGCAAAGUGCUUUGUUCCUGGAAAUCAUCCGAUGAGUAGUUCAGUGCUAUUGUAUAUCUUGUUAGAGCAGCCGAAGUGCCACAAAAUGAACUAAAAUCUCCCUGCAGAGUUGCUGUAUCAUAUGCUGAGAACAUUCGGAACUUUCAACAAAUUCAUGUUACGAUCCUGGGUAGCCAUGGUUAAAUCUGUACAGGGGUUAAAUGAGAAAUAUGAGCCUGCUGUUAAGUGUCUUCUGAGAGUGACAAAGCUCUGGCCAUAAGGGAUGGGAGAGGAGGGAUUUCUUCUCAGCCUUCCAGCCCUUUCCAGCUGUAUCACAGACAGGAGACAUAAUGCAAAGGGGCUCAGACAUUGACUUCCUGGAUCUUUGCGGCCCCAGGCAUUGACCCCCUCUACCUGGCUUUUCCUACGCUGUAAAAUGAGGAUCCUCCUAUAUUAUGGAGUUUAUUGUGACAACUAAAUAGCUGAGAAGAAGGACAUCUCAUUUGUUUUAACUAUGCAGUUUCCUGUCUAUCUAUCUAUCUAUCCCAUCAAUCUAUCAAUCAAUCUAUCAAUCUGUCUAUCCCUAUCUAUCUAUCCAUCUAUCUAUCUAUAUCUGUCUAUAUCUAUCUAACAUUUAUCUAUCAUCUAUUCAUCUAUCAGCUAUCUUCUGUCUAUCAAUAUUUCAAUCAAUCUCUCUAUCCCUAUCAAUUAAUCUAUCUACCUACCUAUCAACUAUCCAUCUAUCUCUAUCAUCUAUCAUCUAUUCAUCUAUCAUUUAUCAUCUGUCAAUCCAUCUUCCUACUAUCUAUCAAAAGCAACACAUUUUCUUCCUGACUUUAAAAAUAUUUAAGUGGGCCGGGAGGAUGGCUCACGCCUGUAAUCCCAGCACU
ensembl:lncRNA LINC00924 long intergenic non-protein coding RNA 924